GUUUGAUCAUGGCUCAGGAUGAACGCUGGCGGCGUGCCUAACACAUGCAAGUCGAACGAAGCGCUUACGGAUGAACCCUUCGGGGCGAUUUUGUUUGCGACUGAGUGGCGGACGGGUGAGUAACGCGUGGGGAACCUGCCUCUGCCAGGGGGAUAACAGUUAGAAAUGACUGCUAAUACCGCAUAAGCGCACGGGACCGCAUGGUUUUGUGUGAAAAGCCGAGACGGGCAGAGAUGGACCCGCGUCUGAUUAGGUAGUUGGUGAGGUAACGGCCCACCAAGCCGACGAUCAGUAGCCGACCUGAGAGGGUGACCGGCCACAUUGGGACUGAGACACGGCCCAAACUCCUACGGGAGGCAGCAGUGGGGAAUAUUGCACAAUGGGGGAAACCCUGAUGCAGCGACGCCGCGUGAAGGAAGAAGUAUUUCGGUACGUAAACUUCUAUCAGCAGGGAAGAAGAUGACGGUACCUGACUAAGAAGCUCCGGCUAAAUACGUGCCAGCAGCCGCGGUAAUACGUAUGGAGCAAGCGUUAUCCGGAUUUACUGGGUGUAAAGGGAGCGUAGGCGGCUGUGCAAGUCAGAGGUGAAAGCCCGCGGCUCAACUGCGGGACUGCCUUUGAAACUGUAUAGCUAGAUUGCAGGAGAGGUAAGUGGAAUUCCUAGUGUAGCGGUGAAAUGCGUAGAUAUUAGGAGGAACACCAGUGGCGAAGGCGGCUUACUGGACUGUAAAUGACGCUGAGGCUCGAAAGCGUGGGGAGCAAACAGGAUUAGAUACCCUGGUAGUCCACGCCGUAAACGA
rnacentral:rRNA from 1 species